AUUGAACGCUGGCGGAAUGCUUUACACAUGCAAGUCGAACGGCAGCACGGACUUCGGUCUGGUGGCGAGUGGCGAACGGGUGAGUAAUGUAUCGGAACGUGCCCAGUCGUGGGGGAUAACGUAGUGAAAAUUACGCUAAUACCGCAUACGAUCUAUGGAUGAAAGCGGGGGAUCGCAAGACCUCGCGCGAUUGGAGCGGCUCAUAUCAGAUUAGGGAGUUGGUGGGGUAAAGGCCCACCAAGCCAACGAUCUGUAGCUGGUCUGAGAGGACGACCAGCCACACUGGAACUGAGACACGGUCCAGACUCCUACGGGAGGCAGCAGUGGGGAAUUUUGGACAAUGGGCGAAAGCCUGAUCCAGCCAUUCCGCGUGCAGGAUGAAGGCCCUCGGGUUGUAAACUGCUUUUGUACAGAACGAAAAGGUUUCUACUAAUACUAGGAGCUCAUGACGGUACUGUAAGAAUAAGCACCGGCUAACUACGUGCCAGCCGCCGCGGUAA
rnacentral:rRNA from 1 species